rnacentral:misc_RNA from 1 species
GGAAUAAAAGUCGUAGCAAGGUUUCCGUAGGUGAACCUGCGGAAGGAUCAUUAUUGAAUGAAACACUUCUGGCUUUAUGCUGUUGUGCUGGCCCUUUGGGCAAUGUGCACACGGCUCUGGUCACUUGUUUCUUCUGUUCCACCUGUGCACUGCCUGUAGACACGCUGUGUCUAUGAUAUUUGUUAACACACAACAAUGUUAGUUGGCAUGUUAUAUAUAAUAAUAAAAUAUACAACUUUCAACAACGGAUCUCUUGGCUCUC